CAGUAGCCACGGGAACACGGAGGGUGCAAGCGUUAAUCGGAAUUACUGGGCGUAAAGCGCACGCAGGCGGUCUGACAAGUCAGAUGUGAAAUCCCCGGGCUUAACCUGGGAACUGCAUUUGAAACUGUCAGGCUGGAGUCUUGUAGAGGGGGGUAGAAUUCCAGGUGUAGCGGUGAAAUGCGUAGAGAUCUGGAGGAAUACCGGUGGCGAAGGCGGCCCCCUGGACAAAGACUGACGCUCAGGUGCGAAAGCGUGGGGAGCAAACAGGAUUAGAUACCCCGGUAGUCCCUGUCUCUUAUAA
rnacentral:rRNA from 1 species